UCCAUCCAUCCAUCCAUCCAUCCAAAUCUCCUCUCCUCUCCUCUCCUCUCCUCUCCUCUCCUCUCCUCUCCUCUCCUCUCCUCUCCUCUCCUCUCCUCUCCUCUCCUCUCCUCUCCUCUCCUCUCCUCCAGAAUGUGCACCUGAUUUAAGUGACCCCACGUCCGUUGCCACGUACACAGCUGAAGAAAUAGGACUAGCAAAAGAUGGAGUCGUUCGAUAUUUUUCAGAUGAGGAUGGUACGAAAAAUCACACACACCCAACAAGUUUUUGACCAAGAAUUUGUCAACAUUUAAGUACAAAUCUGUUAUAAUUCUGACUGUCUGAUGUUUUCCUACAUCUGCAGGCAAUUUCUACCUUAGUUACAUUGACCCUGUGGUCAUUGGAAGACAAGCUUUCCACACUGCUGAUGACUUCAUGAAAGACGUAGGGGGCACCGUCAGGGACACCACAUGUGCUAUGAUAGAUAGUGUAGUUGAUGCUAUAAAGGAUAUAAAUACAGGAGAAACGGAUCUUAGCUACAUAGACCCUGUAGUCAUAGGCAGAAAUGUCUUCAGCGUCACUAAUGAGUUCAUGUGUGGAGUUGGAGGCUCCAUCCAGCAUGUGCUCUGUGCCAUCAUAGACACUAUUUUAGAUGUAGGAAAAGGAAUUUACCAAGGAACCACGGAUGUCAGCUUCGUUGAUCCGGUGGUAAUUGGCAGAAAAACUUUUCAUAUCAGUAAUGACGCUGUAGGAGGAAUAGCGGGUCACAUCCAGGACGUGCUCUGUGCCAUCAUAGACACUAUACUGGACAUUGUUAAAGGAACCACUGACGUUAGUUUCAUUGACCCCGUGGUUAUUGGCAGAAAUGUCUUCAAUGUUAUUAAUGACUUUGUGAGUGGAAUAGCAGGAUACAUUCAGGAUGUACUUUGUGCAAUCUUGGAUGUAUUCCUAAACACUGUAAAAGAUAUCAUGGACGCUGUGGGAUUCAGCCCCAUGUCAAUUCUGAAGACAACAGCAGAAAUCACCACAGAACAGAUAAACAUGCUGACAGGCUACCUCUCCACAACACUGAUGGGCGAACAAGGUAUCAUGCCUGAGGUGUCAGUUGAUCCCAUGAAAGUGGUCGAAGACGCUGUGUUGGAGUUCAGCGACAAGAAAGAUUUGUUCGUGGCUUACAUGUCGAGCAUGGUUGUUGGUGAUCAAGGUGAACCUGUUACUACACCAGAUGUCAGUGUAGUAACUGAAAAAGAUGACUCUGCAGCGCCAUCAUCUGAUAUAAAUCUGGUGCAAAGGAAAGGUGAAUUCCUUCCACCUAUUGAAAAAG
rnacentral:lncRNA from 1 species